rfam:Vigna radiata var. radiata cultivar VC1973A chromosome 8, whole genome shotgun sequence
UUUGCAAGUGAUGAUAACUUAGAUAGGGACAUCAGUACUUAUGCUAAGGAUGGUGAUUUGUCUUUGGGAAUUUAUCUGAUGCAUA